rnacentral:rRNA from 2 species
UGAACGAGCUGGCGGACGGGUGAGCUAACACGUGGGUAACCUGCCCUCUAAGCUGGGGGAUAACAUCUUGGAAACAGAGCUAAUACCGCAUAAAUCCAAGAACCGCAUGGUCUCUUGGCUGAAGAGGCGUAAGCUAUCGCUCUUUGGAUGGACCCGCGGCGUAUUAGCUAGUCUGGUGAGGUAACGGCUCACCAAGGCAAUGAUACGUAGCCGAACUGAGAGGUUGAUCGGCCACAUUGGGACUGAGACACGGCCCAAACUCCUACGGGAGGCAGCAGUAGGGAAUCUUCCACAAUGGACGCAAGUCUGAUGGAGCAACGCCGCGUGAGUGAAGAAGGCUUUCGGGUCGUAAAACUCUGUUGUUGGAGAAGAAUGGUCGGCAGAGUAACUGUUGUCGGCGUGACGGUAUCCAACCAGAAAGCCACGGCUAACUACGUGCCAG